GGGGCCGCGGCGGUCGGGCCGAGCUUCGCUGGCUGCGGUGCCCUGUGCCGACGGCGCUCACCCCGCGGGUGGAGCCAGGGGACUCGGCACCGCUCCGACCAGUCACAGUUUAGCUCAAAGGAGAGUCACAAAAAUUUCUGCAACUCCAUCUUCUUAGGGCAAAGAGAUGCCAAGCUCACCAUGCACAGUACAGUGCAAACCUGCCUGCGGCAGAUCUCACAGGUCUUCUCACCCCGGAGAAAUGGAUGCCUGUGCCCACUGAACACUUUCUUUCUGGUCCCACAGUUACCAUUCGGCUUUCUGAUUUGGUGAGUCUUACUACUUUAGGGGUUUGGCUGUUUUGUUUGCUGGUGACCAACAUACCAAGUCUGAGAUAAUACAUUGGUUUUGAUUUCUUUCGCCUGAUGACUCAGAGAAAAUGAAAGAGCAACUUGUCUGGGUGUAAUAUCUGAAAAUCCCUUAUGUAACCUUUGGUAGUGAGAAUUGGUUUGACUUGAUUUUCAUGAGCUGUAAUACAUCAAAAUCAAAAGACAAAAACCAAAUCUAAAUAUGUAAAAUGAAUUUUCUAGAGACCUAUCUAAUGCUAUAUAAACACAACACUAUUCUUUAAUUAAGAAUACUACACAGUAGGUACACUCUAUGCACGUCUUAAAGCAAUAAAAUAAAACUUGAAAAAGCCUCAUUCGCUGCAUGUAAUACAGCACAAGAAGUGUGGGAAGCUGUUGAACAACGUAUGUGCUGUUAUACUUUGUCAAGUGUCAAAGUACACAAUAACGUUCUAGCCGCCCACCUCAAAACACAACCUCAGACUUAAACAUCAAAAACUUGACACAAAGCCGGGCAGUGGUGGUGCACACCCUUAACCCCAGCACUC